CUGUGAUGCAUUAUACGUUUUGGCAAUAGCUGUACCUUCCUUAUUAUGGAAUCUUAGACUGUCAGACUUAGAGGGGAGCUAAAGAAUCAUUGGAUUCAGAAAUUUCCAACCUGGCCUCUGUCAAGGUCAUAACGGGGUCUUUGAGCUAUUUUCAAAAUUCCAAAAGCCUAAAUGGAAUCGCACAUUAACAUAACAUGCUGUUGAUGUUUUUGUUUGUUUGUUUGUUUUCUUUUGGCAGAUUUGUCCACGUCUCUGCCCUGCUUCAAAUCCUUCAGAGGCUCCCCAUCACCCACAGGGAUGAUCUUUCUGAAAUGGAUUUGGCCAUGCCAGUCUCCUGCCUGAAACAGCCCUCCUGGCUCCUUGUCACUCAAAGGAAAAGGCAAACUCCUCAAGACUGCACAUAAUGCCCACCUUCCCAACCAGCCUCUCCUACUGCCACUCUCUCUCCUACACCCUACCUUCCAAACCCUACUUGGGGUUCACCCUCACAUGCUGGAGUUUUCCCAUCUCUGAGACUUCAUUCAGGCAGUUCCUUCUGGCUUCGGAGGCUUCUUUGUUCCUAAAGUUCAUACUUUAAGACCUAGCUGAAAUAUCAAGGCUUCCUGGACUCUGCAGGUGACACGAGCCACUGUGCUCCUGGAUGCUUCAGAACCUGUGCAGAUCUCUGUCUUCACUCCUACUAUGGCAUCUCCUAGCAUGUUCUACACUGAGCUCCACUGGGCCUUGCAUGUCAGUAUCCCGAAUUCUGAAUGAAGCUUGGAACAUGGGAGGUGCAUCCACUAACAACAUGAAGAAUGAAGACAUGUGUGUCAAGGCACAGGCUGAGUCAUCAGAACACCUUCCCUGAAUUGUGUCAAACAAGUGUACAUGUGCUCAAGUGUAUCUGGAUUCUGAUUUGGCUGCACAGUCACUGUUUUCCAGAUGUUUGCAGAAGAAAUAUGAGCUGGAGGAGACUCACUGAAAGCUGGAACUAGAAGGAUGCACACUGCUCAUCCAAGCCAAUUCACUUAUUUUACCAAUGAUAAAACUGAGUCUCAGAGAAGUCAUACGCUUGCCCAAAGACACAGCUUGUGGUGGAGGAGUCAACACCAGAACUCUGGUCCAGGACUGCAAAAAAACACUUAACAUGUGCUAAUAAUGAGGAUAAAAGAUACUUCAAAUUCUGGGAGUUCUAUAAUGUUUGAGCACAUAUACCAUUGAAUCCUUUUAAUAACCCAUCGCUUACACAGAUGAGGAAACCAAGGCUCAUAGAAAUAAAGUGCUUUGCCAAAAGGCACAAAACUGGUCAGUAAUAAAUCUGAUCUCCAGGUUCCCAGUCCAGAACUUUCUGCAGCACUAUCUUUUUGUUCCCUUUAACUACCAGAAGCUUUAACCCAAAAUGAGGCUUCAACUAUAAAAGCUAUUUAAGACCUUAUGGCUGCGUAUCUCUGCCCUAAGUUUUCUCUUGAUCCUUAUUUUAUAUUCUAAUGUUUAAAACUUGUUCCCCAAAUUUUUAAAGUUUGCAUUCAUUUUAUUUCAAUAAGCCACGCCAAAAUCUGUGUGUCAUAAGCUAUCUAUACGUAAAUAAAUGAACGAAUGAAUGAGCAAACAAACAAAAUCUUAAGAGGCAGAGUAACAUGGUGGAAAAAUACCAGGCUUACAUUCAAUUCAAUACCACUUUGUCUAUUGUCUUCAUCUUUGAGCCUCACUUUCAUUAUCUGUCAAACAGGUCUAACAAAAUUUAUCAUUAAGCAUUAUUAUAAGUCUAAAAAUAAACAUGGAACAUAUGAAGAAGGUUUGUAUGUUAUCAGUGGUAUCUAAAUUGGCAGCUCAUAGUAGUAUUACUAGUAAUAAUAAUAUAAACAAAGAAGCCUGAUUAAUGCAAGUGAGAUGAGUUAUUUGACUCCAGAAACCCCGCCUCCAGACAUGAGUUACGGCUCUCAUUGGGUUUUAUG
rnacentral:lncRNA from 10 species